GCCAGUGUAGCAUAGUGGUUUGAGUGUUGCACUACGACUCUGGAGACCAGGGUUCAAAUACCUGCUCCGCCA